UACGUAGGGGGCAAGCGUUAUCCGGAUUCACUGGGCGUAAAGGGAGCGCAGGCGGCACGGCAAGUCUGGUGUGAAAACCCGGGGCUCAACCCCGGGACUGCAUUGGAAACUGCCGGGCUGGAGUGUCGGAGGGGUAAGCGGAAUUCCUAGUGUAGCGGUGAAAUGCGUAGAUAUUAGGAGGAACACCAGUGGCGAAGGCGGCCUACUGGACGAUGACUGACGCUGAGGCUCGAAAGCGUGGGGAGCAAACAGG
rnacentral:rRNA from 1 species